UACGUAGGGUGCAAGCGUUAAUCGGAAUUACUGGGCGUAAAGCGUGCGCAGGCGGCUUUGCAAGACAGAUGUGAAAUCCCCGGGCUCAACCUGGGAACUGCAUUUGUGACUGCAUGGCUAGAGUGCGGCAGAGGGGGAUGGAAUUCCGCGUGUAGCAGUGAAAUGCGUAGAUAUGCGGAGGAACACCGAUGGCGAAGGCAAUCCCCUGGGCCUGCACUGACGCUCAUGCACGAAAGCCGUGGGGAGCAAACAGG
rnacentral:rRNA from 1 species